CGACGGGUAACGGGGAAUCAGGGUUCGAUUCCGGAGAGGGAGCCCGAGAAACGGCUACCACUUCCAAGGAAGGCAGCAGGCGCGCAACUUACCCUAAUCUCGAUUCGAGGAGGUAGUGACAAGAAAUACCGAUGCGGGACCCUACGGGUGCCGCGUUCGGAAUGAGUACGAUUCGAACCACCUAACGAGGAACGAUCGGAGGGCAAGUCUGGUGCCAGCAGCCGCGGUAAUUCCAGCUCCAAUAGCGUACGUUAAAGUUGCUGCAGUUAAAAAGCUCGUAGUUGAACGUUCGGGUUCCGCGGGACGGGGCCGCCCCGCGAGGGACGGCGCCGCCCCGGGGCUCGUGAUAUCUUAUCUCGCCGCCCGUCGCGAGGCGGACGGAGGGAUGGAUGAGGUUACCUGGAAAAAAUCGGGGCGAUCUAGGCGGGCGAACCUCGCCAACGAACGAUCGGACAUGGG
rnacentral:rRNA from 1 species